CAGCAGCCGCCGCGGUAAAACGAAGGGUGCAAGCGUUACUCGGAAUUACUGGGCGUAAAGCGUGCGUAGGUGGUGGUUUAAGUCCGUUGUGAAAGCCCUGGGCUCAACCUGGGAAUUGCAGUGGAUACUGGGUCACUAGAGUGUGGUAGAGGAUAGUGGAAUUUCCGGUGUAGCAGUGAAAUGCGUAGAGAUCGGAAGGAACAUCUGUGGCGAAGGCGACUAUCUGGGCCAACACUGACACUGAGGCACGAAAGCGUGGGGAGCAAACAGGAUUAGAUACCCCCGUAGUCCCUGUCUCUUAUAC
rnacentral:rRNA from 1 species